CACAAGCGGUGGAGCAUGUGGUUUAAUUCGAUGAUACGCGAGGAACCUUACCUGGGCUCAAAUGUAUGUUGACGUAUUCUGAAAGGGAUACUUCUUCGGACAAUAUACAAGGUGCUGCAUGGUUGUCGUCAGCUCGUGCCGUGAGGUGUCGGGUUAAGUCCCAUAACGAGCGCAACCCUAUCAUUAGUUGCCAUCAGGUCAAGCUGGGGACUCUAAUGAAACUGCCUACGCAAGUAGUGAGGAAGGUGGGGAUGACGUCAAAUCAGCACGGCCCUUACGUCCAGGGCUACACACGUGCUACAAUGGCCGGUACAAAGGGCAGCUACCUGGUGACAGGAUGCUAAUCUCAAAAGCCGGUCUCAGUUCGGAUCGGAGUCUGCAACCCGACUCCGUGAAGUUGGAUUCGCUAGUAAUCGCGCAUCAGCCAUGGCGCGGUGAAUACGUUCCCGGGCCUU
rnacentral:rRNA from 1 species